AUUGAACGCUGGCGGCAGGCCUAACACAUGCAAGUCGAGCGAGCGGCGGACGGGUGAGUAAUGUCUGGGAAACUGCCUGAUGGAGGGGGAUCACUACUGGAAACGAUAGCUAAUACCGCAUACCAUCAGAUGUGCCCAGAUGGGAUUAGCUAGUAGGUGGGGUAACGGCUCAACUCGGCGAGGAUCCCUAGCUGGUCUGAGAGUAUGACCAGCAACACUGGAACUGAGACACGGUCCAGACUCCUACGGGAGGCAGCAGUGGGGAAUAUUGCACAAUGGGAGCAAGCCUGAUGCAGCCAUGCCGCGUGUGUGAAGAAGGCCUUCGGGUUGUAAAGCACUUUCAGCGGGGAGGCGUUACCCGCAGAAGAAGCACCGGCUAACUCCGUGCCAGCAGCCGCGGUAAUAC
rnacentral:rRNA from 1 species